CUUCCUUCCUUCGUCCCUUCCUUCCUUCGUCCCUUCCUUCCUCCCUCCCUCCCUCCCUCCCUCCCUCCCUCCCUACCUCCCUCCCUCCCUUCCUCCCUUCCUCUCUUCCUCCCUCCCUCUUUUCCUUCCUCCCUCCCUUCCUCCCUUCCUCAACGGAGUCUCGCUGUGUCGCCCAGGCUGGAGUGCAGUGGCUCAAUCUCAGCUCACGGCAACCUCCCCCUCCUGGGUUCAAGCGAUUCUCCUGCCUCAGCCUCCCAAGUAUCCGGGAUUACAGGUUUUAUCUUCAUCAGCCUGGUCAAAGCUGGAUUUCCAUCACACAUGUGCUCACUCCACGGAACGUGCAAAAGGUCAAGACAUACAAACUCAGAGUUUUUAAAAUCAAGAAUUGAAAGUGGUCCACUAGCUUCUGUUCAUAGGACAUUGAGCCCCAGAUUUGGCACAUGACCGUCACCCACUCGGAACAUGAAGCACAGCUUGCCAUUUCGGACGGCAAUCACAGCAUGGCGGCUGAAAAUCAAAGUUUCUGCCCUUCUGUGAGCCUGAGCUGUUUUCAUGAAAAUGCAGCCUAACAUGACUGCAUUGAUGAUCAAACCCACAAUAUUCUGGAGAAUCAAAACCGUGAUGGCCAAAGGGCAU
rnacentral:lncRNA from 1 species